AUUGAACGCUAGCGGGAUGCCUUACACAUGCAAGUCGAACGGCGUGGCGAACGGGUGAGUAAUGUAUCGGAACGUGCCCAGUAGCGAGGGGUAACUAAGCGAAAGCGUAGCUAAUAACGCAUACUCGUGGAGCGGCCGAUAGCGGAUUAGCGAGUUGGUGGGGUAAAGGCUCACACAGGCGACGAUCCGUAGCUGGUUUGAGAGGACGACCAGCCACACUGGGACUGAGACACGGCCCAGACUCCUACGGGAGGCAGCAGUGGGGAAUUUUGGACAAUGGGUGAAACCCUGAGCCAGCCAUCCCGCGUGUGCGAUGAAGGCCUUCGGGUUGUAAAGCACUUUUGGCAGGAAAGCGGUACCUGCAGAAUAAGCACCGGCUAACUACGUGCCAGCAGCCGCGGUAAUAC
rnacentral:rRNA from 1 species